AUAUUGCACAAUGGGGGAAACCCUGAUGCAGCGACGCCGCGUGAGCGAAGAAUGCAUACAGGUAGUAAAGCUCUGUUUCGAGGGAAGAUAAUGACGGUACCUCGACAGAAAGCACCGGCUAAAUACGUGCCAGCAGCCGCGGUAAUACGUAGGGGGCAAGCGUUAUCCGGAAUCACUGGGCGUAAAGGGUGCGUAGGCGGCCAAUAAAGUCAGAGGUUAAAUCCCAGGGCUCAACCCUGGUCAGCCUUUGAAACUUAGUGGCUUGAGUGCAGGAGAGGAGAGUGGAAUUCCUAGUGUAGCGGUGAAAUGCGUAGAUAUUAGGAGGAACACCAGUGGCGAAGGCGACUCUCUGGACUGUAACUGACGCUGAGGCACGAAAGUGUGGGUAGCAAACA
rnacentral:rRNA from 1 species